ensembl:lncRNA
AAGGAAUCGAGGGGGAUGGAGGAAGUGAGAUGCCAAAAAGAUCAACGCUUCACAUUUACUUUUUACAUUUAUUCAUUUAGCAGACGCUUUUAUCCAAAGCGACUUACAAAUGAGAAAAUACAAGCAAAGCGAUUAUCAAGCAGAGAACAAUACAAGUAGUGUUACCAUACAAGAUCCAUUAAUUGAGUUUGAGAAGAAGCAAAGUGCGCAGAGUAGAGGUGUAAGUGCAGAUUUUUAAAAAUGUAUUUAUUCAUUUAUUUAUUUAUCAUGGGUUGGUUAGAUGUUCACGGAAGAGGUGAACAUCAAGGCCUUGAAUUUGAUACGGGCGGCUACAGGAAGCCAGUGGAGGGAGAUGAAGAGGGGUGUGACAUGGGUUCUCUUGGACUGGUUGAAGACGAGGUGUGCUGCUGCAUUCUGAAUCAUCUGAAGGGGUUUCACUCAUUUCAAUAAGAACUCAAAUUCAGCUUUAUUAGGCUCCGCUUUAAAUUUGAUUUACAGAUAUUUAUCUAAGUGCAUUAAUCUUUUUGUUGGAAAUGAGCACCGUUGGUUUUUUUUUUUAAAAGUAAAAUUUAAAAACCAAGAUAUUGUUUUAAAGUUAAAACAUCAGAAUUAAAGCAAAUAUGUUUCCCCACAAAACCACUGGCUGUGGUAAACAAAGGGAAAGUGUAAUGUAGAGAAACAUGUUCAGAAGCAUUUCUGCACAGGUUGGGAGAGGAAAUUGGAUGAUAAAACCCUAAACUCAAGGUGUGUUGGAAAUAUUGCUAAUUUUACCACGGUGAACUGUUUGGAAAGGAAACACUGGUGUGUGUUUUUUCCAAUGUCCAAAGUUUUUUGAGUUAGUUUCAGGUCUAUGGGAUUUAGGAUGUAGUUGGGAUGGAUUAUGAAAGGAAGACCUGGCAACCCUGAGCACGAGAAAUAAUCUCAUGAUCUCUGGUUAAACAAAGGUUCAACUUGACGCAUAACGCGGUGACACCAGUUAAAAACAUGACCCCUGCUGAACAUGUCGCUCACUUGCUGUCUGACCGCUUCGAACCGGGCCUGUCCACCCGGAUUACUGCCAAUCCACUUUUGUUUUGCCGCUUGGUCCACAUAGAUUUGAAGGUUAUUCAUAUCAUUUAGGAGAGUUUCCACCCUUGUUUCGUCCUCGUCUGUCACAUCGUUGGGUUUAUGUGGCCCAGCACGACUAACAAAGCGUCAUGCAGCGCUCUGCAAUAUUGACCAAACGGGAUUGCGUUCGCAUCCACGUAGUCUUCAUUAUUAUCAAAGAAAACCACCAUGUUUGUCUGAAUUUCUGUUGCUGUGCUUUGGGGAAGUGGGUGCCUGCCUAAUUCGUCCAUUGCCUGCUGAUCAUAUCCUUGUAGAGGAUUCAUACGAUGUUUAUGUAUAAAAUCAGUCAGCACUUUGUAAUGAAAUUUAAGGAUGCCGUUGUUGAAGACGUGUUCGCCUCUUUUCGACCUUUUCAGGUUUUCCCCCAGAUCCUGAUUGAACUUUGGAUUGAUGAUAUGACUGUUUGCUAACACUUUACACUUAAUAUCCUCCACUCUUUUCUUUCUCUCUCCCUGAUGAGCUUGAGAUGGUUUUGUUCCCUUUUUGGAACCUUUCCCCAUAUAUUCAAUAAUAUUUUCCAUUCUGACCUCUGUGGAGAAAAAAAAAAAUACCCAAAAUGUUUCCUUGUUAUGAUUUAGCUCUAAACUGAAUUGAUCUCAUUUAUA